ACUGCAUGUUGCCCUUAAGCAAAACAAAAGGCGGAGGUUAUCUUCCUUAACUGGCUGGCUAUUGGUAUUUAUGUUUGUGCCCCUGCAGUUUCUCUACCAUGGAAAUAGUCUUUAUAAGAGCUAUCAUCAGCUUUCUUUUAUAUUUGACCAGCUGCCUGGGAGAAAAACGUCGACUGGUUUACACUUUAUACUUUCUCAGAAGUUUUAUGGUGAAAACACAUUUUCCAGUCCUGAUUCAGUUGGUCUUUAGAGAAGCCAGGGAGUCUGCGUAUCUGCAAGGUUCCAGGUGAUGAAGAUGCUGCUGGUUUGAGGACUACACUAUGAAUAGCAAGGAGCUAGAGAGCAUUGAGACCACACGGCCAAAGAAGAUUGUGGUGCUCCAUUUUUGCUGUAGUUCUGAGAUCUGCUGAGUGAAUUAUGCUGUAUUAAAUGUUUACUUUGGAGAGGUAAGGCUGCGAUGUACCACGUCCCCUUAAAAUCUCCACAGUUUUCUUUUCCAUUUCCAACAUGAACUUACCACUGGCUGGUAGCCCUGAGUCUAUAAAUGUUACCACCAUUCUCCUAGCUAUAAAUACUUGAAAGUUCUAAGUCGUCUUUGACUGCUCCUUCAGCAUUUUUUUUUUCUAUCUUCUACAUUCAACCAUUCAGCGAGUUGUGUUGCUUACUUAGCGCUGUGUCUUCCACUUCUCUCUCUUUUUUUCCCAUCAUUCAUCAUCAUCAAUAAUAAGUGAAUAAAUCCAAUUCUGUUCUGAUAUCAACUGCAAAUGCAAUACUUCUGAUUCUAACCACCAGGACUAGGUCAAAUGUUACAAGUUAAAAGUGAUAGUCUUCCACACUGCCAAGUCUGCUCAAGACUUCAGUUGCCAACUACGAGCUUGUGGGUUCCCACAAUACCCUCACCCCUGAUUAGCUGGCUAUGAAUUCAGGAUUUCACACUAUCCCACAUCAGUGCUAGAUACUCCAAAAUUCUUGUUGAGGAGUCAAAUUGCCGUAAAAAUUAUGUUCAUUCAGGACGUCACUUUUAGCCACUGAUCUCAGUUCGAUCUCCCAAAGCAAUUCCCUCUUUCACGUGGUAUUGCUUCAAAUGGUUAAAGAAAGUGAUGGUAUUUACCUGUAUCUUAUUUUAACCAAAAUAAAAAAAAAAAUUUUUUUUUCAGUU